CGUGUGGCUUUUCUAAAAGCCACCAUAGCAAAAGAACAAGCGUUCU
rfam:Globodera pallida, Lindley, WGS project CBXT01000000 data, contig: pathogens_Gpal_scaffold_637_contig_5